rnacentral:rRNA from 1 species
GACGAACGCUGGCGGCGUGCCUAAUACAUGCAAGUCGAACGCAGGGGGGACGGGUGAGUAAAACGUGGGUAACCUCCCAUCAGAGGGGAUAACAGUUGGAAACAGGUGCUAAAACCGAUACUGAUGGAUGGACUAGCGGUGCAUUAGCUAGUUGGUGGGGUAACGGCUCACCAAGGCCACGAUGCAGAGCCGACCUGAGAGGGUGAGCGGCCACACUGGGACUGAGACACGGCCCAGACUCCUACGGGAGGCAGCAGUAGGGAAUCUUCGGCAAUGGACGAAAGUCUGACCGAGCAACGCCGCGUGAGUGAAGAAGGUUUUCGGAUCGUAAAGCUCUGUUGUUAGAGAAGCGGUAUCUAACCAGAAAGCCACGGCUAACUACGUGCCAGCAGCCGCGGUAAUAC